rnacentral:lncRNA from 1 species
GGCUAAAUUCCCGGCCCGAGACGCUUGAAAACAAAACUCUUACAAGAAUAUCAGAGGUUUAGGGACUUGUCUUCAUAAAUAACCAAAUAUCUACGGCUUCAACUGUCUGCCCUACUGGUGAGGUUUGAAGUAUUUUAUUUUGCUUCAGUUUUCCAUGCUGUCAUGUUGAUGUAUGGUAUGAAAAGUUAUCCUCUUCAAUAUCAUUCAGUAUUCACAGAUACUUUCUAUACUGGUAUGUGAGGUUCGACAAAUACAUGCAUUGAACAAAAGGGAAAUAAUUCCUUUAGUGACAUUCCACAGGCC